UACAGAGGGUGCAAGCGUUAAUCGGAAUUACUGGGCGUAAAGCGUGCGUAGACGGUCAUGUAAGUCGGGUGUGAAAGCCCCGGGCUCAACCUGGGAAUUGCAUUCGAGACUGCAUGGCUAGGAUGCGGAAGAGGGAAGCGGAAUUUCCGGUGUAGCGGUGAAAUGCGUAGAUAUCUGGAGGAACACCGGUGGCGAAGGCGGCAUCCUGGACCGGCAUUGACGCUGAGGCGCGAAAGCUAGGGGAGCAAACGGG
rnacentral:rRNA from 1 species